UGUUUUUGUUCAACAUCUUCAUCAAUGACCUGGAUGAAGGGAUAGAGCCCACCCUCAGUAAGUUUUCUGAUGAUACAAAGCUGGGAGGAGUGUAUGACACAGUGCAAGGCUACUAUUCAACAAGACCUGGACAGACUGGAGAUUUGGGCUGGGAGGAACCUGAUGAGUUUUAACAAGAGCAUGUGUACAGUCUUGCACUUUAAGAGGAAUAGCCACAUGCUUCAGUACAGGUUAGGGGAUGACCUGCUGAAGAAGAGCUUUGUGGAGAAGGGCCAAGGUGUUCUGGUGGACAACAGGUUAACCACGCACCAGUAAUUUGCCCUGGUGGCCCAAUGGUAUCCUGCAGUAUAAUUAAAAAGAGCCUGGCCAGCAGGUUGAGGGAGGUGAUCCUCCCCCUCUACUCUGCCUUGGUGAGGCCACAUUUAGAAUACUGUGUCCAGUUAUGGGCUCCCCAGCUCAUAAAAGACAGGGAUCUCCUUCCCGUGGAGGGCCAAACAUGUGAUUAAGGGUCUGGAGCAUCUCCUGUAUGAGGAAAGACCAAGUAACCUGGGUUUAUUCAGACUGGGGAAAAGAAGACUGUGAGGCAAUCUGAUAAAUGUUUUUAAGUAUCUGAAGGGAUCUGAAAAGCAAAUGGAUGAGGCCAGGCUCUUCUCGGUGGUGUGCAGCAGUAGGAAAAGGAGUAAUGGUCUAAAACUUGUACACAGGAAAUUCCAUACUAACAAGCAGAAGAACUUUUUUAUGGUAAGGACAACAGAGCACUGGUACAGGUUGCCCAGAGAGGUUGUGGAGUCUCCUUCCAUGGAGAUAUUCAAGACUUGUCUGGAUGUAGGGUAGUAUGGUUAAGUUGCUGUUGGACUUGAUGAUCUUUAAAGUCUUUUCCAACCUGAGCAGUUCUAUGAUUCUAUGAUUCUAUGGUGCUUACCUGUGCAACCUAUUGUAGGGUACGUGCUUUGGGUGGGGGUGUCUGAACCCUGCUUUGGUUUUAGCUCGAAGCUUGCUUUCUGGGGCAUAUCUUGUGAUAAGACUCUUGACUUAUCUAGGAGAUGAGAGGUGGUUGUUGCCAUGUGGCAAUCAACUUCACUUUGCGGAUAAUUUUACAUUUGAAAGCAUUUCUUUGGAGCUGUUUGCCAAUGGACAAGAAUGCUCAGGACUGUUUCCUGGUGGAAGAUCUGGCCUGUUACCAAGUAACUCCAGCUCAGUAUGGGAAAAAUGGGGAAUUAUACCAUCAUGUCCCAUGAAAAAUAAGAUGCAGGUGGGUACCUCCCAGCUCCCUAUUAUCUGUUCGCAAGGCCCGGAAGAUGGGAACAAAGGAGUUUCUGUGCUGAGAUCCCAAAGCCAGAAGCUGCCACUCCAGAGAAAACUGACUCAACCACUUUGGAUUUGAGCUGUUACUCCAAGGAAAGCUGACUCGACCAAAUUUAUAAAUAAUUUUGUUCUACCAUUGGAAAGUUGUCGUUGUCAACUAAACAGCAACCCCUGAUGACCCACCACUACUGAAGAUCAACGUCUGAACUAUGAGCAAUGCUGGAAUCCAUGGUAGUGACUAUCUCUCUCUUGCUUUCUAUGAAGACUCCUUGCUUUUAUUUUCUAUCUCUUUUAGAUUGCCCAUCUUCCCUUCCUCAUCUUCCUAAGUGACUAGGAUUUGCAAUAAACUGCUCAGGCUAACAUUUAACCUGUUAUGUCUUAAUCUCAGGUAUACAUAUAUUAAAAGAACCUCCCUCCUAUAAAGUGGGGCGAGACAGGGGUGUUGGACUUGAUGGUCUCUUGAGGUCCCUUCAACCCCUGUGAUUCUGUGAUUCUGGGACCCUGUGAUAAGACAUUACCAAGAAAGAGACAUGGUGUAGCUGUGUAAUUUAUAUAGUAUUGUGGGAACCUCCUUUCCAGAAAUAGCCUUUCUAGGGAUGCCACCACAGGUUUCAGUGUGGUUUCUUACGCUUGAGUACAUCUCUUGACUUUGAAUGUAAUACCUCCGCAGCUAAAACAGGCCUAUGCAGAAGUUAUAACAGAAGUGCUACUUUUAGACAGAAAUCAGGAAACUGAUGUGGAUGACUGGAGAUAUGAAAUUGCAUGUUACAAGGUAAGUCUGAAUAUAGGCAGUGUGCAUCAUGUGCAAAAGUAUCUCCCCUGCCAUCUAUAACAGCAAAACUGCUUAGAAUGCAUGUUGACUGCCCUAUCUUGUAAAAGAAGUAUAUGUGUUCAAGUAACUGAACAUGAGAAAAACACCAACAAUUCCAUGGAUGAAACAGAGAGACCUCAAAGAGAAGAUCUGUAUCAAAGAAGAAAUGGAACUGUAAUUCAUUGGCUCUGCCCACUAUAGAUACAGAAGUCAAAGGUGUAAUUCCAACCUCAUCCAGAGGCAUGCUUAUUCCAGCAUUUCUUUGACUCUAUUGAUGUGCAUCAAAGGUGAAUUAAAUCCUGACUUUUAUUGUUUUCUAGAAUGAAAAGACACGUAUAUUCAUGAGAUCUUACAGCAGAUGAAAGACA
ensembl:lncRNA